CAAUAGCGUAUAUUAAAGUUGUUGCAGUUAAAAAGCUCGUAGUUGGAUUUCUGGUGGGAGCGAUCGGUCUGGCGCUUAGCGCGAGUACUUGCAUCGUCUCCGGCCAUCCUUGGGGAGAGUCUGUCUGGCAUUAGGUUGUCGGGCAGAGGAUCCUCAUCGUUUACUGUGAAAAAAUUAGAGUGUUCAAAGCAGGCUUAUGCCGUUGAAUAUAUUAGCAUGGAAUAAUAAGAUAGGACUUUGGUACUAUUUUGUUGGUUUGCGCACCAAAGUAAUGAUUAAUAGGGACAGUUGGGGGUAUUCGUAUUCCGUUGUCAGAGGUGAAAUUCUUGGAUUUACGGAAGACGAACUACUGCGAAAGCAUUUACCAAGGAUGUUUUAAUUAA
rnacentral:rRNA from 1 species